rnacentral:rRNA from 1 species
AACGAACGCUGGCGGCAUGCCUAACACAUGCAAGUCGAACGAGACCUUCGGGACUAGUGGCGCACGGGUGUGUAACGCGUGGGAACAUGCACUUAGGUUCGGAAUAACUCUCCGAAAGGGGUGCUAAUAUCGGAUAAUGUCUUCGGACCAAUGAUUUAUCGCCUUUGGAUGGUCCCGCGUUGGAUUAGCUAGUUGUUAGGGUAAAAGCCUACUAAGGCGACGAUCCAUAGCUGGUCUGAGAGGAUGAUCAGCCACACUGGGACUGAGACACGGCCCAGACUCCUACGGGAGGCAGCAGUGGGGAAUAUUGGACAAUGGGCGAAAGCCUGAUCCAGCAAUGCCGCGUGAGUGAUGAAGGCCUUAGGGUUGUAAAGCUCUUUUACCCGGGAUGAUAAUGACAGUACCGGAAGAAUAAGCUCCGGCUAACUCCGUG